CCUACGGGAGGCAGCAGCUAAGAAUCUUCCGCAAUGGACGAAAGUCUGACGGAGCGACGCCGUGUGAAUGAAGAAGGCCGAAAGGUUGUAAAAUUCUUUUGCAGAUGAAGAAUAAGAAUAAGAGGGAAUGCUUCUUUGAUGACGGUAAUCAUGCGAAUAAGCCCCGGCUAAUUACGUGCCAGCAGCCGCGGUAACACGUAAGGGGCGAGCGUUGUUCGGAAUUAUUGGGCGUAAAGGGUAUGUAGGCGGUUAGGUAAGCCUGGUGUGAAAUCUACGAGCUCAACUCGUAAACUGCAUUGGGUACUGCUUGACUUGAAUCACGGAGGGGAAACCGGAAUUCCAAGUGUAGGGGUGGAAUCUGUAGAUAUUUGGAAGAACACCGGUGGCGAAGGCGGGUUUCUGGCCGAUGAUUGACGCUGAUAUACGAAGGUGCGGGGAGCAAACAGGAUUAGAUACCCCUGUAGUC
rnacentral:rRNA from 1 species